UACGUAGGGUGCGAGCGUUGUCCGGAAUUAUUGGGCGUAAAGAGCUUGUAGGCGGUUUGUCGCGUCUGCUGUGAAAAUCCGAGGCUCAACCUCGGACUUGCAGUGGGUACGGGCAGACUAGAGUGUGGUAGGGGGAGACUGGAAUUCCUGGUGUAGCGGUGAAAUGCGCAGAUAUCAGGAGGGAACACCGGUGGCGAAAGGCGGGGUCU
rnacentral:rRNA from 1 species